rnacentral:misc_RNA from 1 species
GUAGCCACCCCCGCCGAUUCACAAAUCACAAACUCAAAGACCAUCUCGCUCAACUCAUGCAGUAGCCGCUCACCUCCCAGUCCUCUCAGCUCAAUCCUUCCAAUUCCCUUACUGUCAUAGCCCCUCAAGUUCGCCGCUUGUCCUCGUAUCUGAAGUUCACCGCUCAUCCUCGUAUUUGAAGCUCGCUGUGACUCUUCCUUAGGAUCUGAAGUUUACUAUCGCUCGUCCCUUGAAUCUCAAGCUCCCCGCUGCUCUUCAGCUCAGGGGAACUACAGAAAAAGGUACUAUUGGAUGAGAAAUACCAUUGCCUGCAUGUUGAAGAGGGAUAUAAUUCAAAGGUUUGGUAUCGUGAUGUUGAAGAGGUAAUGGUGCUACUGCAACAAAUGAUCAGAUUUUACAAGUAAUUAAUACUUAAACUUGUCCUUGCCCCGUAAUGCGGUACUUUGGGAUCAUAAUUUUGUAUGUAUUCUUACAAAACUUUCCUUAUUAAUUGCAUCUUUUGGUAGCUGAGGAUCCACCAUAUUCUUUAUAAUGAUUUCAAAGAAAUUAUUGUUAACAAUUUAAAGCAAAAGACUUAUCCUGUAGAAGUUCAUUUGUGCGAUAAUAUAUUUGGUCCAGUUGAGAAAAAAGAAAAGAGAUGGAUGAAUUGUAUUACUUGUCUGUUCUUUUCCUCUUAUUUUGAAAAUAGAGAAUUAAUUGUUAUAGGAUUUGUGAAAGUGAUUCAAGGCAUGCGAGUAGGAGGAAUAAGAAGGAUUAUUUGUCCCGAGAACUAUGUAGCGGCCAAUAUCUUUAAGAUCUUUUGUAUAUAGAUUCUCUAAAUAUUUAUUUUUAUUUUUGUUAAAAUAAUAUAUUGAAUUUUUGUUAAAUAAUAUGCUAAAUUUUUAAAGGAUAUGAAAUUUGUUACAUUUCUCCAUAUUCUAAGAAUCCCAACGCUUGCAAUUAGUUGAUAUCCUUUCAAUUAUAAAUUUCUUUAUUAGAUGGAUGAUGGUGUGGACCUAUGCAUUAUUUCUUGUAUUAUUAGCUUAUUGAAUAGUAUGUACCUGAAAUGGCCAAGUUAUUUCAAUUAAUUAAUGAUGGUGCUAAACUUGAACUAUAUUAAAAAGAAAAAAAGGGAGGCAAUUUGUAUAUUCUUUUCAAGAUAAAUUCAAAGGAAAAUUUUUAAUUUCAAAAGUUUUUAAAUUAAAGCAUCCGCAAAAUAUUUUGGCACUUGUAUAGGUGGUAUGCUGAUAUGGCAAACAUAUUCAGUUCCAAGUAGGCAAAGAUGCUUGCAUGUUGAACUAGGAACCCUCAAUGGAUAUGAAGUUUGUUGUGGUACCACCCUUGAGGUGACCCAAAAUUCUUUACUUCAACUAAUUCUUGUUUUUACUGUGGGCAUUUAAAUUACAUUUCAAUUUAUAAAACUAUAAAGUUAAUUUAUAAUUGAGUGUCAUCUUUCAUAUGUUGUAUAUAAGGGAAACAUUAAUGAGAAAAUCUUGGCAUACAUGAACACAAUUUUAUUUAGGAGCUUUAUAUAUUAUUUAGUUGUACAAAGAUAUUAAGAACAAUGGAAACUGCAAAAACAAAGAGCACUUGAAGAAAUUAAAAAAAUGAAGAGCCCUUAACAAUUUUUAACAAUAUUGUUGUUUUUUACAAUCAAACACACAACAUGUGUUGCUUUGAGAUGAUGAAACAUUCUGCUUCAUCUAUGGGGUUCAUAAAUGAUAAACCUAUUCUUUCAAUGUUGUUUUUGUCCUGGUUUCAGCAUGUUCAAGACACUAGAAAGGCAUAAAAUAUGCAACUAUGGAGCAUCAUUUAGAGAGAUUAUUAUGUGUGGAAUUAUAGUACUUUUUAUAGAUGUAAUUGUAUUUUAAUUUACUUUGUAUAAAUAUCAAGUAUUUUGUAUGAAUUUAAUUUUGUAAAUUUAUCCAUUUUAAUUAUGUCGAUUAUAAUUAGUUUAUUGUUUUUAUUUAUGGAUUAUGGAUUGUUAUGAUAAAUUCAUAAUAUUGAUAGAAGAAAUUAAAAAAAUAAAAUUAGUGAGAUAAAGGAGAGAAUAUCUACUGAUUUAGCGAUGGACUUAUGGAAAUUUGUUGUCUUGUCAUUGGUAUUUAGCGAUGGACAUUAGCAACUGAAUCUAGUGUCGCUAAUAUUAGAGACAGUGAUAUGCGGUCAUUAAUGCCGUUGCUAAAUUUAGCGAUGGUGGUAAAAAUCGGUCGCAAAAAUUAGCGACGAGAGUAUAAGUGACGGAUUUUUGUCUGUUAGAAAUCCGUCGCUGAAGCCUUCAGUGACCCAAAAUCCACUAUUAGCGACGAAAGAUGCCCGUCGCUGAUAACCUGUUCUUUCG